UAGGGAAUCUUCCACAAUGGACGCAAGUCUGAUGGAGCAACGCCGCGUGAGUGAAGAAGGCUUUCGGGUCGUAAAACUCUGUUGUUGGAGAAGAAUGGUCGGCAGAGUAACUGUUGUCGGCGUGACGGUAUCCAACCAGAAAGCCACGGCUAACUACGUGCCAGCAGCCGCGGUAAUACGUAGGUGGCAAGCGUUAUCCGGAUUUAUUGGGCGUAAAGCGAGCGCAGACGGUUUUUUAAGUCUGAUGUGAAAGCCCUCGGCUUAACCGAGGAAGUGCAUCGGAAACUGGGAAACUUGAGUGCAGAAGAGGACAGUGGAACUCCAUGUGUAGCGGUGAAAUGCGUAGAUAUAUGGAAGAACACCAGUGGCGAAGGCGGCUGUCUGGUCUGUAACUGACGCUGAGGCUCGAAAGCAUGGGUAGCGAACAGGAUUAGAUACCCUGGUAGUCCAUGCCGUAAACGAUGAAUGCUAGGUGUUGGAGGGUUUCCGCCCUUCAGUGCCGCAGCUAACGCAUUAAGCAUUCCGCCUGGGGAGUACGACCGCAAGGUUGAA
rnacentral:rRNA from 1 species